rnacentral:rRNA from 1 species
GAUGAACGCUGGCGGCGUGCCUAAUACAUGCAAGUCGAGCGAAUGGAUUAAGAGCUUGCUCUUAUGAAGUUAGCGGCGGACGGGUGAGUAACACGUGGGUAACCUGCCCAUAAGACUGGGAUAACUCCGGGAAACCGGGGCUAAUACCGGAUAACAUUUUGAACCGCAUGGUUCGAAAUUGAAAGGCGGCUUCGGCUGUCACUUAUGGAUGGACCCGCGUCGCAUUAGCUAGUUGGUGAGGUAACGGCUCACCAAGGCAACGAUGCGUAGCCGACCGGAAAGGGUGAUCGGCCACACUGGGACUGAGACACGGCCCAGACUCCUACGGGAGGCAGCAGUAGAGAAUCUUCCGCAAUGGACGAAAGUCUGACGGAGCAACGCCGCGUGAGUGAUGAAGGCUUUCGGGUCGUAAAACUCUGUUGUUAGGGAAGAACAAGUGCUAGUUGAAUAAGCUGGCACCUUGACGGUACCUAACCAGAAAGCCACGGCUAACUACGUGCCAGCCGCCGCCGUAA